ACCGCUUUGGCGGUACGUAUCCUCAAAUUGAAACGAUAUCGGGAAGAACAGCAUGGCCCUGCGCAAGGGUGAAAAAAAGUGGUUAGAGUUCAAGCUUCGUAAU